rnacentral:rRNA from 1 species
CGCGUAGGUGGUAGUGUAAGUCUGGGGUGAAAUCCCAGGGCUUAACCCUGGAGCUGCCUUGGAAACUGUAUUACUUGAGUCAGUGAGGGGAGGGUAGAAUUCCUGGUGUAGCGGUGAAAUGCGUAGAUAUCAGGAGGAAGGCCUGUGGCGAAGGCGGCCCUCUGGCGCUGGACUGACACUGAGGCGCGAAAGCGUGGGGAGCAAACAGGAUUAGAUACCCUGGUAGUCCACGCCCUAAACGGUGGGCACUAGGUGUAGGGCUCGUAAGGGUUCUGUGCCGAAGGGAAACCAUUAAGUGCCCCGCCUGGGGAGUACGGCCGCAAGGUUGAA